rnacentral:rRNA from 1 species
GAUGAACGCUAGCGGCAGGCUUAACACAUGCAAGUCGAGGGGUAACAUUUCAGCUUGCUGAAGAUGACGACCGGCGCACGGGUGCGUAACGCGUAUACAAUCUGCCUUACACUGAGGGAUAGCCUUUGGAAACGAAGAUUAAUACCUCAUAGUAUGAUGACUUGGCAUCAAGAUAUCAUUAAAGGUUACGGUGUAAGAUGAGUAUGCGUCCUAUUAGCUUGUUGGUAAGGUAACGGCUUACCAAGGCAACGAUAGGUAGGGGUCCUGAGAGGGAGAUCCCCCACACUGGUACUGAGACACGGACCAG